UCUCCGUUGGUGAACCAGCGGAGGGAUCAUUACAGGAUUCGCAAGAACUCCCGUAACCACUGUGAACCUUACCUUCUGUUGCCUCGGCGGGCUACCCUGUAGACCGCCGGUGGACCAUUAAACUCUUGUUAUUCUAUGGAUAUCUGAGCGUCUUAUUUAAUAAGUUAAAACUUUCAACAACGGAUCUCUUGGUUCUGGCAUCGAUGAAGAACGCAGC
rnacentral:misc_RNA from 1 species